GAUGAACGCUAGCUACAGGCUUAACACAUGCAAGUCGAGGGACCGGCGCACGGGUGAGUAACACGUAUCCAACCUGCCCUUUACUCGGGGGUAGCUUUCCGAAGGAAAGAUUAAUACCCGAUAUAAAGGAUGGGGAUGCGUUCAAUUAUGUUGUUGGUGAGGUAACGUCUCACCAAGCCUUCGUUGGAUAGGGGUUCUGAGAGGAAGGUCCACCACAGUGGAACUGAGACACGGUCCAAACUCCUACGGGAGGCAGCAGUGAGGAAUAUUGGUCAAUGGGCGCUAGCCUGAACCAGCCAAGUAGAGUGAAGGAUGAAGGCUUAUGGGUCGUAAACUUCUGUUAUAUAAGAAUAUGUAUUAUAUGAAUAAGGAUCGGCUAACUCCGUGCCAGCAGCCGCGGUAAUUC
rnacentral:rRNA from 1 species